UACGUAGGGUGCGAGCGUUAAUCGGAAUUACUGGGCGUAAAGCGUGCGCAGGCGGCUUCGCAAGUCAGACGUGAAAGCCCCGGGCUCAACCUGGGAACUGCAUUUGAAACUGGCGGGCUUGAGUGUGGCAGAGGGGGGUGGAAUUCCGCGUGUAGCAGUGAAAUGCGUAGAGAUGCGGAGGAACACCGAUGGCGAAGGCAGCCCCCUGGGCUAGCACUGACGCUCAGGCACGAAAGCGUGGGGAGCAAACAGG
rnacentral:rRNA from 1 species